rnacentral:rRNA from 1 species
CCUACGGGAGGCAGCAGUGGGGAAUAUUGCACAAUGGGCGAAACCCUGAUGCAGCGACGCCGCGUGAGUGAAGAAGGAAUUCGUUAUGUAAAGCUCUAUCAGCAGGGAAGAAAAUGACGGUACCUGUGCAAGAAGCCCCGGCUAACUACGUGACAGCAGGCGCGGUAAUACGUAGGGGGCAAGCGUUAUCCGGAUUUACUGGGUGUAAAGGGAGCGUAGACGGCAGUGCAAGUCUGGAGUGAAAGGCGGGGGCUCAACCCCCGGACUGCUCUGGAAACUGUACGGCUGGAGUGCGGGAGAGGUAAGUGGAAUUCCUAGUGUAGCGGUGAAAUGCGUAGAUAUUGGGAGGAACACCAGUGGCGAAGGCAGCUUACUGGACUGUAACUGACGUUGAGGCUCGAAAGCGUGGGGAGCAAACAGGAUUAGAUACCCCGGUAGUC